CUGCUUGUGUGUCCAUAGGUGACACAGUCCCUCUUCUUUUCUUUAACUCAGGUACACUCAAACAGAUAGAAGAAACAAAGGUUCUCGUACAAUAAAUUUAAAAAAAUGUAAGAUUAUGAAAGCAAUGUGCAAACAGCUUCUCAUCUUGAUAAGAGCCUAAGCCUGGCUCUAGUUGCAAUAGCAGAUGUACCUUCAUGGGAUUACCACCCUUCAUAAAACAGCAACAGCAGAAGAGAAUCCAC